CAGUGGGGAAUAUUGCACAAUGGAGGAAACUCUGAUGCAGCAACGCCGCGUGGAGGAUGACGCAUUUCGGUGUGUAAACUCCUUUUAUAGGGGAAGAUAAUGACGGUACCCUAUGAAUAAGCACCGGCUAACUCCGUGCCAGCAGCCGCGGUAAUACGGAGGGGGCUAGCGUUAUUCGGAAUUACUGGGCGUAAAGCGCACGUAGGCGGAUCACCAAGUCAGAGGUGAAAUCCCAGGGCUCAACCUUGGAACUGCCUUUGAAACUGUUAGUCUUGAGGUCGUGAGAGGUGAGUGGAAUUCCGAGUGUAGAGGUGAAAUUCGUAGAUAUUCGGAGGAACACCAGUGGCGAAGGCGGCUCACUGGCACGAUACUGACGCUGAGGUGCGAAAGCGUGGGGAGCGAACAGGAUUAGAUACCCUGGUAGUCCACGCCCUAAACGAUGCACACUAGUUGUUGCGAUGCUAGUCAUUGCAGUAACGCACUUAACAGAUUAAGUGUGCCGCCUGGGGAGUACGGUCGCAAGAUUAAAACUCAAAGGAAUAGACGGGGGCCCGCACAAGCGGUGGAGCAUGUGGUUUAAUUCGAAGCAACGCGCAGAACCUUACCAACCCUUGACAUGGCAGUGACCGUUCCAGAGAUGGAUCUUUCUCGUAAGAGACACUGCACACAGGUGCUGCAUGGCUGUCGUCAGCUCGUGUCGUGAGAUGUUCGGUUAAGUCCGGCAACGAGCGCAACCCACACUUUUAGUUGCCAUCAUUCAGUUGGGCACUCUAAAAGAGCUGCCGGUGAUAAGCCGGAGGAAGGUGUGGAUGACGUCAAGUCCUCAUGGCCCUUACGGGUUGGGCUACACACGUGCUACAAUGGUGGUGACAAUGGGUUAAUCCCAAAAAGCCAUCUCAGUUCGGAUUGGGGUCUGCAACUCGACCCCAUGAAGUCGGAAUCGCUAGUAAUCGCGUAACAGCAUGACGCGGUGAAUACGUUCCCGGGCCUUGUACACACCGCC
rnacentral:rRNA from 1 species